rnacentral:rRNA from 1 species
GUCUACAGCCAUGCCACCCUGAACAAGCCCAAUCCCAUCUGAUCUCGGAAGCUAAGCAGGGUUGGGACUAGUUAGUUCUUGGAUGGGAGACCAUGUAGGAAGACCAGGUGCUGUAGGCG